rnacentral:rRNA from 1 species
GAUGAACGCUGGCGGCGUGCCUAAUACAUGCAAGUAGAACGCUGAAGCUUGGUGCUUGCACCGAGCAGAUGAGUUGCGAACGGGUGAGUAACGCGUAGGUAACCUGCCUCUUAGCGGGGGAUAACUAUUGGAAACGAUAGCUAAUACCGCAUAAAAGUCGAUAUCGCAUGAUAUUGAUUUGAAAGGUGCAAUUGCAUCACUAAGAGAUGGACCUGCGUUGUAUUAGCUAGUUGGUGAGGUAACGGCUCACCAAGGCGACGAUACAUAGCCGACCUGAGAGGGUGAUCGGCCACACUGGGACUGAGACACGGCCCAGACUCCUACGGGAGGCAGCAGUAGGGAAUCUUCGGCAAUGGGGGCAACCCUGACCGAGCAACGCCGCGUGAGUGAAGAAGGUUUUCGGAUCGUAAAGCUCUGUUGUAAGAGAAGAACGAGUGUGAGAGUGGAAAGUUCACACUGUGACGGUAACUUACCAGAAAGGGACGGCUAACUACGUGCCAGCAGCCGCGGUAAUACGUAGGUCCCGAGCGUUAUCCGGAUUUAUUGGGCGUAAAGCGAGCGCAGGCGGUUAGAUAAGUCUGAAGUUAAAGGCUGUGGCUUAACCAUAGUACGCUUUGGAAACUGUUUAACUUGAGUGCAGAAGGGGAGAGUGGAAUUCCAUGUGUAGCGGUGAAAUGCGUAGAUAUAUGGAGGAACACCGGUGGCGAAAGCGGCUCUCUGGUCUGUAACUGACGCUGAGGCUCGAAAGCGUGGGGAGCAAACAGG